AAAAGCCGCAGUAUACUAACUGUGCAAAGGUAGCAAAAUAAUUUGUCUUUUAAUUAAAGACUAGAAUGAAUGGUCUGACGAGGAAAAAUCUAUUUCAUAAUUUUAAAUAAAAUUAACAUAUAAGUAAAAAGGCUUAUAUACAUCAGCAAGACGACAAGACCCUAUAAAACUUUACCUUCUAAAUAAUAAACCUUAGUAAAUGUAUAUAAUUUAAGGGUUUAACUGGGCGGUAUUUAUAUAACAUUUAACUAUACAAAAUUAACCAUAAAUUAAUGAAUAAAUAAAUCUUAAAUAAAACAUAACAAAAAGUUACUUUAGGGAUAACAGCAUAAUACUCUUAAAGAGUUCAAAUCGACAAGAGUGAUUAUGACCUCGAUGUUGAAUUGGGAAACCAUCUAAAAGC
rnacentral:rRNA from 1 species